AUUUAUAUAGUUUAAAAUAAAACAUUACAUUUUCAUUGUAAAUAUAAAAAUAUUUUUUUUUAUAAAUAAUUUUAUA
rnacentral:tRNA from 1 species